rnacentral:rRNA from 1 species
GGGGAAUUUUGGACAAUGGGCGAAAGCCUGAUCCAGCAAUGCCGCGUGUGUGAAGAAGGCCUUCGGGUUGUAAAGCACUUUUGUCCAGAAAGAAAUCCUCUGGGUUAAUACCUCGGGGGGAUGACGGUACCGGAAGAAUAAGCACCGGCUAACUACGUGCCAGCAGCCGCGGUAAUACGUAGGGUGCAAGCGUUAAUCGGAAUUACUGGGCGUAAGGCGUGCGCAGGCGGUUUUGUAAGACGGAUGUGAAAUCCCCGGGCUUAACCUGAGAACUGCAUUCGUGACUGCAAGGCUAGAGUAUGGCAGAGGGGGGUAGAAUUCCACGUGUAGCAGUGAAAUGCGUAGAGAUGUGGAAGAACACCGAUGGCGAAGGCAGCUCCCUGGGUUGACACUGACGCUCAUGCACGAAAGCGUGGGGAGCAAACA